UACAGAGGGUGCGAGCGUUAAUCGGAAUUACUGGGCGUAAAGCGUGCGUAGACGGUUAUGUAAGUCGGGUGUGAAAGCCCCGGGCUCAACCUGGGAAUUGCAUUCGAGACUGCAUAGCUAGGAUGCGGAAGAUGGAAGUGGAAUUUCCGGUGUAGCGGUGAAAUGCGUAGAUAUCGGAAGGAACAUCAGUGGCGAAAGCGACUUCCUGGUCCAGCAUCGACGUUCAGGCACGAAAGCGUGGGGAGCAAACAGG
rnacentral:rRNA from 1 species